rnacentral:rRNA from 1 species
GACGAACGCUGGCGGCGUGCUUAACACAUGCAAGUCGAACGGAAAGGCCCUGCUUUUGUGGGGUGCUCGAGUGGCGAACGGGUGAGUAACACGUGAGUAACCUGCCCUUGACUUUGGGAUAACUUCAGGAAACUGGGGCUAAUACCGGAUAGGAGCUCCUGCUGCAUGGUGGGGGUUGGAAAGUUUCGGCGGUUGGGGAUGGACUCGCGGCUUAUCAGCUUGUUGGUGGGGUAGUGGCUUACCAAGGCUUUGACGGGUAGCCGGCCUGAGAGGGUGACCGGCCACAUUGGGACUGAGAUACGGCCCAGACUCCUACGGGAGGCAGCAGUGGGGAAUAUUGCACAAUGGGCGGAAGCCUGAUGCAGCAACGCCGCGUGCGGGAUGACGGCCUUCGGGUUGUAAACCGCUUUCGCCUGUGACGAAGCGCGAGUGACGGUAAUGGGUGAAGAAGCACCGGCUAACUACGUG